rnacentral:rRNA from 1 species
AUUGAACGCUGGCGGCAGGCUUAACACAUGCAAGUCGAGCGGUAACAGAUCCAGCUUGCUGGAUGCUGACGAGCGGCGGACGGGUGAGUAAUGCAUAGGAAUCUGCCCAGUAGUUGGGGAUAGCCCGGGGAAACCCGGAUUAAUACCGAAUACGCCCUACGGGGGAAAGCGGGGGAUCUUCGGACCUUGCGCUAUUGGAUGAGCCUAUGUCGGAUUAGCUAGUUGGUGGGGUAAUGGCCUACCAAGGCGACGAUCCGUAGCUGGUCUGAGAGGAUGAUCAGCCACAUCGGGACUGAGACACGGCCCGAACUCCUACGGGAGGCAGCAGUGGGGAAUAUUGGACAAUGGGGGCAACCCUGAUCCAGCCAUGCCGCGUGUGUGAAGAAGGCUUUCGGGUUGUAAAGCACUUUCAGUGAGGAGGAAAACCUUAUGGCUAAUAUCCAUGAGGCUUGACGUUACUCACAGAAGAAGCACCGGCUAACUCCGUGCCAGCAGCCGCGGUAAUACGGAGGGUGCAAGCGUUAAUCGGAAUUACUGGGCGUAAAGCGCGCGUAGGUGGUUUGGUAAGCGAGAUGUGAAAGCCCCGGGCUUAACCUGGGAACGGCAUUUCGAACUGUCAGACUAGAGUG